UAAAAAAUCUUGUGCGUUUCAGUUUUAAGUUGACAAUAAUUAAAAGAGAUAAAAAUUAGUGAAAAUAAGAUGAUAAGGCACAAUAAAUAAGAUAUGAAUUAAUUUAAACCAUUAAAGAAGGUUUGAAACAAUGGGAAUGAAACAAAAUUGAGUUGCAAAUCCAGUUGUACAAGUCCAGUGGAAGAUAGUGCCACGAAUCGCUGCAUGAGAUCCUCUUUUGGGAUCAGAACAGCCCGAUCAACACCAGCCAAGAUGUUUAGUCCUUGAAACCUUGACAAGUUUUAAAGAAAGGAAGUCAGGCAAGGGCGCCCAAAACAAGAAGAAGACAUUUAUGGACAAGCCGCAGCUUUUUACGUUAAGCACUGUUAACGUCACUGCAUUGACGGCGAAAUGGCGGAUAAUUAAAUGGAAACCUGAAAUUGGUGAAGUUUUUUCAAAGGCGGCAUUUCAUAAUUUUUCAUAGGUGUAGGGAGGCUUUUCAAAACCGUAAAAAAUUCAAAAAUAAAUUGUAUUACCAAAGUUGGAGACAGGAGAGAGAGUAGGACAUAACAAUCAAAUAUCGAGCCAAUUUAAUGCGUUAUAAUCAUCAUUGUUAAUCAACUUCCAGCCGUUUUCCCUAGAGGACGCUUUGAAUGUUAAUUGUUUAAAAAAUAUAUGUCCAGGAGUUUUAUUUAUAAAAA